GAUGAACGCUGGCGGCGUGCCUAAUACAUGCAAGUCGAGCGAACAGAUGAGGAGCUUGCUCCUCUGACGUUAGCGGCGGACGGGUGAGUAACACGUGGAUAACCUACCUAUAAGACUGGGAUAACUUCGGGAAACCGGAGCUAAUACCGGAUAAUAUAUUGAACCGCAUGGUUCAAUAGUGAAAGACGGUUUUGCUGUCACUUAUAGAUGGAUCCGCGCCGCAUUAGCUAGUUGGUAAGGUGACGGCUUACCAAGGCAACGAUGCGUAGCCGACCUGAGAGGGUGAUCGGCCACACUGGAACUGAGACACGGUCCAGACUCCUACGGGAGGCAGCAGUAGGGAAUCUUCCGCAAAGGGCGAAAGCCUGACGGAGCAACGCCGCGUGAGUGAUGAAGGUCUUCGGAUCGUAAAACUCUGUUAUUAGGGAAGAACAAAUGUGUAAGUAACUAUGCACGUCUUGACGGUACCUAAUCAGAAAGCCACGGCUAACUACGUG
rnacentral:rRNA from 1 species